CUAGUUGAAAGCGUUUUAGUUAGUUUUAGUUCUUUUUAUUCUGAGACUUUAUUGGAAACACAUGGCAAAAGAAAGACCCCUUCAACAAGUGAGAACUUUAGAAAUACUGUAGUUAGUUGUGCAAUAAAUAUUUCGCAUUCGGUAACUCAUAAAGUGACAUAACAGUUUGUGAAAGUGCAAUCUUAGUUCAAGUUGCAACGCGUUCCUUGGCAUCGUGUAAAAGUGUAAAAGUUUGUGUCUGAAAAUGGAAAAAUGGUGCCCCCUUAGCAGCCACGAGCGGCUAAUCAAAUAAUAUCUGAAGUGUAUGAUAAUAGUUUAGAUCUGGUCUCAAAAUGGAACAAUGGAGCUCCCUUAGCAGUCGGAAAUGACUAAUCAAAUGGUAUUUGAAAGGUUGCCGGAGAACCACAAUUAAGGAUAGCAUCCCUUCAGACAUGAUACCUACGGAGAAAUCAGAAAGACUUCUCUAGGAAGCGCUAUUAUUGAGCGGAAUUUGCUUUGAGAUCCUUUAGAUAUUUUGACUUUGACAGCAACCAGCAGAUUUCAUAUCAAAGUACGGAUAACUUGCAGAAUUGCUAACUAUCAAUGUCAAAGUUCAAAUUAAGGAGAAAAAGAAGCGGAAAAGCCACAUUAAAUACUUGGAUUUUGGUAUCUACAUAAGACAAAAAUAUGUCUGGAGAAAAUAUCAGAAUGGGGCUUAGGCGAUUGGCAAGAUGAUUCCAAUGUCCUCGAUGAUGCUCUGUUGGGUGGGUAAUUUAUUGGAGACUUACACAAGCACUGGUCAAUCGUAACAGUUGAUGCCAUUUUGAAUUGACGAUGGGUAAUGUAGUAUUGGGGAAUCCCUCCUUUCCUCUUGCUGACCAUCGACGAGAAAAAUUUAAAGAAGAAAAAGAAACAGGAGAGGCUACAUUAAAUACUUGGAUUUUAGUCUCUGCAU